UCUUCCCAGUGAGUCAGUUACCCAAGGUUGGCAUAUUUAUUCUAUUUCCUUUAAAACAAAUCACGAAACAUUUCCUCUGUGCCGGACAUCAGUCUUUUGCCUAUUUUGUUCUAUUUGUCUUUAUCUUGUUGAUGAAUACUCUUAUUCACGCUUACAGGAGCUAAAGGGUUUAUAAUCACACGAAAAUACAAAUUUUAUCCGUGCACUGUUUGAACUCCAGGAUUUCACCCCAUCAUUAAACACACUUAGCCGAGCCAACAGAGCCAUUUGCAAUUCUGAUAGGACUCAGUGCAGAGCAGCCGCCUGGACCAAAGUGGAAUCCCAGCCUCCUUCCACUCUGAGUGUGUUUGCCUGGGAGUGACCUCUGUUCUUUUAUCUUGCCAGGAGCUGAGUUAAAGGAAAUCAAUAGAGAAGAAAGCCCUUGUCCAGAAAAUAAGAGGAAGGCCAGUGAUAAGGUUAUGCAUCUACUUGUGUGGCAAAUGGAAAGAGGCAAGUAUCUGCUUGCAGGGAGCUGCCGUGCUCUCUUCUAACCAGAUUUGUAGCUUCCAGUUUAAGUAGGUUUAAAGUUUCCAACUGUGUGUGGAGUCCUUUAAGAAAAUGUGAUUUUAAAACACUCCAAGUUCUUAAGGAACGUCAUUUUCCAAAUGAGACUGAAAAGCUUGAUGUGGAUUUUAUUCUUGGCUUUAUUUCCAGCGCCCAGUAUAGACACUGGCCCAAAACAGGUCCUCCAGAAACGUCUACUGAAUAAAUGAACAAAUUGAAUCA
rnacentral:lncRNA from 1 species